rnacentral:sRNA from 2 species
GUCACAAAAAGGCCGAGUUCCACAGUAGUGGAAGCGGGGGACCCAAUUCUUCGGGGUGAAUUCACGGACCGUUCCCAGCGGUCGGUGAUAGGCAAGUUCUUGCCGAACCCGUCAGCUAACCUCGUAGGCGAAUCAUGUGCAUUG